UACCAGCACCCCCGAGUGGUCGGGACGUUUUAUUGGGCCUAAAGCAUCCGUAGCCGGUUCUACAAGUCUUCCGUUAAAUCCACCUGCUCAACAGAUGGGCUGCGGAAGAUACUAUGGAGCUAGGAGGCGGGAGAGGCAAGCGGUACUCGAUGGGUAGGGGUAAAAUCCGUUGAUCCAUUGAAGACCACCAGUGGCGAAGGCGGCUUGCCAGAACGCGCUCGACGGUGAGGGAUGAAAGCUGGGGGAGCAAACCGG
rnacentral:rRNA from 1 species